CCUACGGGUGGCAGCAGUGAGGAAUAUUGGUCAAUGGGCGUAAGCCUGAACCAGCCAAGUCGCGUGAGGGAUGAAGGUUCUAUGGAUCGUAAACCUCUUUUAUAAGGGAAUAAAGUGCGGGACGUGUCCCGUUUUGUAUGUACCUUAUGAAUAAGGAUCGGCUAACUCCGUGCCAGCAGCCGCGGUAAUACGGAGGAUCCGAGCGUUAUCCGGAUUUAUUGGGUUUAAAGGGUGCGUAGGCGGCCUUUUAAGUCAGCGGUGAAAUUCUGUGGGUCAACCAUUGAAGUGCCGUUGAAACUGGGAGGCUUGAGUGUGUGUGAGGCAGGCGGAAUGCGUGGUGUAGCGGUGAAAUGCUUAGAUAUCACACAGAACCCCGAUUGCGAAGGCAGCAUGCCAAGCCAUGACUGACGCUGAUGCACGAAAGCGUGGGGAUCGAACAGGAUUAGAUACCCUUGUAGUC
rnacentral:rRNA from 1 species